AUUGAACGCUGGCGGCAGGCUUAACACAUGCAAGUCGAGCGAGCGGCGGACGGGUGAGUACUGUCUGGGAAACUGCCUGAUGGAGGGGGAUAACUACUGGAAACGGUAGCUAAUACCGCAUCCCAUCAGAUGUUCCCAGAUGGGCUUAGAUAGUCGGUGGGGUAAGGGCUCACCUAGGCGACGAUCCCUAGCUGGGCUGAGAGGAUGACCAGCCACACUGGAACUGUGACACGUUCCAUACUCUCACGUGAGGCAGCAGUGGGGAAUAUUGCACAAUGGGCGCAAGCCUGAUGCAGCCAUGCCGCGUGUGUGAAGAAGGCCUUCGGGUUGUAAAGCACUUUCAGCGAGGAGGCGUUACUCGCAGAAGAAGCACCGGCUAACUCCGUGCCAGCAGCCGCGGUAAUAC
rnacentral:rRNA from 1 species